CCUGACGACCAUAGCGAGCGUGAACCACCUGAUCCCUUGCCGAACUCAGUAGUGAAACCGCUUAGCGCCGAUGGUAGUGUGGGGUCUCCCCAUGC
rnacentral:rRNA from 1 species